AUGAUGCUUUAUCUUUUCGUAAUUCUGUCUUCCUUAUUACUUCUAAGAGAUAGAAAGAAUCGCCACCGACUUUUCUUUUAUCCAAAAGGAAAGGUAAAAAAGCACAGGAAAGACCUUUCAACUUGUUCCAACCUCCUCUUCGUUCUCACCUCCGUUGCUGCUAUUUGUAUUCAUGUACUAUCUCUUCUUCUCCUACCCGCUUCUUGUGUUUUACUCUGUUUUGAUUUGAUGUUUAUUAUGGGUUAUACAAGGUUGACGGAAAAGGAAGGUGACAGAUGA